GAUGAACGCUGGCGGCGUGCCUAAUACAUGCAAGUCGAGCGAACAGACGAGGAGCUUGCUCCUCUGACGUUAGCGGCGGACGGGUGAGUAACACGUGGAUAACCUACCUAUAAGACUGGGAUAACUUCGGGAAACCGGAGCUAAUACCGGAUAAUAUAUUGAACCGCAUGGUUCAAUAGUGAAAGACGGUUUUGCUGUCACUUAUAGAUGGAUCCGCGCCGCAUUAGCUAGUUGGUAAGGUAACGGCUUACCAAGGCAACGAUGCGUAGCCGACCUGAGAGGGUGAUCGGCCACACUGGAACUGAGACACGGUCCAGACUCCUACGGGAGGCAGCAGUAGGGAAUCUUCCGCAAAGGGCGAAAGCCUGACGGAGCAACGCCGCGUGAGUGAUGAAGGUCUUCGGAUCGUAGAACUCUGUUAUUAGGGAAGAACAAAUGUGUAAGUAACUAUGCACGUCUUGACGGUACCUAAUCAGAAAGCCACGGCUAACUACGUG
rnacentral:rRNA from 1 species